AACGAACGCUGGCGGCAGGCCUAACACAUGCAAGUCGAACGGACGUAGCAAUACGUUAGUGGCUCACGGGAGAGUAACGCGUGGGAACCUACCUUUUGGUUCGGGAUAACAUCGGGAAACUGGUGCUAAUACCGGAUAAGCCCUUCGGGGGAAAGAUUUAUUGCCGAAAGAUGUGCCCGCGUUGGAUUAGCUAGUUGGUGAGGUAAUGGCUCACCAAGGCAACGAUCCAUAGCUGGUCUGAGAGGAUGACCAGCCUCACUGGGACUGGGACACAGCCCAGACGCCUACGGGAGGCAGCAGUGGGGAAUAGUGGACAAUGGGGGAAACCCUGAUCCAGCCAUGCCGCGUGAAUGAUGAAGGCCUUCGGGUUGUAAGUUCUUUUGGUGGGGACGAUGAUGACGGUACCCACAGAAUAAGCUCCGGCUAACUUCGUGCCAGCAGCCGCCGUAA
rnacentral:rRNA from 1 species